rnacentral:SRP_RNA from 1 species
UUUUGGGCGCCGGUUAACAUUUGAUUACUAAACUCCGUCAGGUCUGGAAAGAAGCAGCGGUAGGUAUGAUGCUUGUGUAGCCGGUUGCCCUUUUUUU